GUGUGCUGUCAGCUGACUGUGCUCACUGAGUCAACAGUUAAAAUGAGCUGUGGAAUCUUACACAGAGUGACACAUCUAAAGGUGGGUUGGAAUAAAAAACCCGAGAGUCAAACACACCGACACAGUCUGAAUGAUCUGAUGCUGAUCUGCCCCAUGUGAGACACUGUGUGACCCCUGCACCUGCUGUCAGAAUCUCAAGCUAACAAGCAACCGGCAAGUCCAGCUGCUGGAAAAGGAGAAAGAUGAGAAAGAGCAGAAAGUUUCCUGAAAUG